GCAUAUCAAUAAGCGGAGGAAAAGAAAAUAACAAUGAUUCCCCUAGUAACUGCGAGUGAAGAGGGACAAGCUCAAAUUUUAAAUCUGUCGGGUUCUACCUGACCGAGUUGUAAUUUGAAGAGGCGUUUUCUGUGUUUCUGAUCAGUCCAAGUCCUUUGGGAUAAGGCAUCACGGAGGGUGAGAAUCCCGUUCGGUUGAUCAGAUUCGCUUUAUGAUACGUCAUCAAAGAGUCAAGUUGUUUGGGAUUGCAGCUUAAAAUGGGAGGUAAAUUUCUCCUAAGGCUAAAUAACGGCGAGAGACCGAUAGCGAACAAGUACCGUGAGGGAAAGAUGAAAAGAACUUUGAAAAGAGAGUUAAAUAGUACGUGAAAUUGUUGAAAGGGAAACGAUUGAAGCCAGUCGUACCUGCGGGUAAUCAGCCUUUUGGGCAUGAUUCUGUGGAGCGUGAGGAGUUAAACGCCUUCAUGCCUGCAUAUUCGUGUACUUUGGGUGUACUUGCCUGUGUGGUUAGUUAACGUCAAUUUUGGUUAUCAUAAAAUGGCUGGAGGAAUGUAGCUUCGAUUUCGAUUGAAGUGUUAUAGCCUUCGGCAGAUGUGAUGAUCGGGAUUGAGGAUUGCAACGGAUACCCUUCGGGGCUACCUGUCUGAUCUCUGAUCGUUGCUCUGGUGCCGAAAGCGUGCUUACGGUUAUCAAAGUCGAUGGUUAAUAGGUUAGAACGGGUUAAAUUCGUUAAGGAUGUUGACGUA
rnacentral:rRNA from 1 species